GACGAACCGAGCGAACGUUGUUCGGAAUCACUGGGCUUAAAGGGCGCGUAGGCGGGUGCUCAAGUCCGUGGUGAAAUCCUCCGGCUCAACCGGAGAACUGCCAUGGAUACUGGGUGUCUCGAGGGUGAUAGGGGUAUGCGGAACUAUCGGUGGAGCGGUGAAAUGCGUUGAUAUCAGGAGGAACACCGAUGGCGAAGGCAGGUCUCUGGGCAUUAACUGACGCUGAGGAGCGAAAGCAUGGGGAGCGAACAGG
rnacentral:rRNA from 1 species